rnacentral:lncRNA from 1 species
GGCUACCUACUUUGAUCUCUGCCGCAUCUUUCGGCGUUUCCUCUUGAGCCUCCUCAUUCGCUUCUUCUUCCACUGCAUGAGAAAGUAUGGCUAAAGUUAGAGAUACCAUUAAUAAAUUGUUGUUUCAUAAGUACGAAAGAGGGUGCUCAAAAUCAUCAACGCAAAUCAAGAUGAUUCACAAACUUAAACUAAAAAAUUUUAGGGAAAAAUAGAUAAAAAGCACACAUUUCAGAACAAUCAUCAUCAAAGGGCAGAAGAGAAAACAGAAAACAUGUAUAAUGUACAUAAGAAACCUCAUUAGCUGACCUAUUAUCAUCAUCAAAGGGCAGAAGAGAAAACAGAAAACAUGUGCAAUGUACAUAAAAAACCUCAUUAUCUGACCUACUAGAUAGCUUGGGACAGAUCACCAAGUCCUGAACUAAAACACAGAACAGUCCAGACAUCUAAGCCUGAAAUUCCUUAUUUGUUGUUAAGAAAAAAUGAUACAUAUUACAACAUAGGGGCAAAAAAGGUUUAAAAAAGGACAGUAGACACAUGUCCUAAUCAAAUUAAUAAAAGAAAGAAAUCAGACUUAACUUUUUAGUACAAAGGUUGAUAGUUAUACAUCUCAAAUUUUAUUUUUUUUAGCUAGCAGGAACCAUAGUAAUAACAAUAACAACAAUGUUGUAUCGUAAAAUUCAACUGCAAAGUAACCAGGUAAAAACAUGAUAUUCCACAGCAAAGAUGAGAAGCAUCAAACCACAUAAAGCUUUACAUUUUCAAUGAAUCCUCAACCCAUUUCAUGUCUUAACCAAGAUAAUAUAAGCAGAUCAUUGUUUCACCACUAUCCUUAUUUCCGUUCCAAACUACAAUUAAAAAGAAGCUAAAUAUAAGCCUACUUAGAACUUAAUGAAUGUACAAGCCAUGUCGUUCUUGCUGGAUCGGAGUCAAAUUCCAAAGUAGAAUAACCUUUUAGGGAAUGGACAGAACUCUUGUUUGUUCUGGUGUUUGAGGCAGAUACACUUACCAAAGCUUUUC